AAUGACUGAAACAAGUAAAAGAUAAAAGAGCAAAAUACCCUAAACACCAAGCCAUGCGCCUCCACUGUAGAAGUAUUACCAGUUUAUUGCACAUAAUUUUUAACCACAAAAUCUUAUGGACCCACAAGGGUCUCAUCAAUCGAGAACCACAGGACUAAACCUUUCAAAGCAGUACCCUGGCAUGGCUGCAGUCCAAUGACUGAAACCUGUAAAAACAAAAUGAAAAAGAAAUAUAGACAGAAGAGUUCAUUAAAAACACUUUUUUUAAAAAUGCAUUCUGGUUCUUUGGUUUUCUUGGUAAUUAAGACUUACAUAGUAUAUAAAGAUGUAUAAAUAUAUUUAUUAAGCGUAGUAUAGCUAAUAAUGAAGCUAAUGACACCAAUGUUCUUUUAAUGAGAUUUUCAUUUUAACGAUAAGUGAUGAGAAAAUAGAACCUGAUAAAAAUUGACUGACAAUGAUAAUGCUGAGUAUGUUAAGAAGAAAAGAGCAAAUAAUGAAGAACAUCAAGUGAAAGAUAGAUGAUGACAGUAAUACUAACACUGACAGUAUGGAUGACGAUUAUGAUGAUAAUAAAUUAUAAUAAGGCUUAAUUAGAUAAUGAUAGCUAUAAAAUUUUGUUAUUUUUAUUGUCAGAGGUAAUAGCUUUUUAACUAUGGCAACUAUGUUGAUUAUGAUGAAUCUGUUAAAAAGUAAUUUAGUAAUUGUAAAAAAGGAAAUUUAAAAAAAAAUUAUUAUUAUCCUGAUUAUUUCAGGUGGCUAAUUGUUUCAGGAAAAUUCCAUAAUAAUAAUAAUAAUAAUAAUAAUUUCAAAACCAUAUCAACUUAUUUGACAAAUUUAAAAAUAUAUUUUUUUUCCUUUUUAAAAAUUUUUUGUUGGUAAUUAAAUUGGUUUAAUUCGUUUAAUGAUCUCUCUGUUCCCCACUCUCACCCCAUUCCACAUUCUUCAUUGUUCAAUAUUUUAAAGGUCAUCCUUGUUUUUUUUGUUUUGUUUUUUCUUUCUUUCAUAUAAGCACAACACUUUCAGAGUUAUCAUUGGAUUGAAAGAUGGAUAGGCCUGUCUAAUAGUUCAUUGAUUUCUGCUUUUUUUGUAUAUAUAUAUAUAUAUAUAUAUAUAUAUAUAUAUAUAUA